AGCGAACGCUGGCGGCAGGCCUAAUACAUGCAAGUCGAACGAAGUCUUCGGACUUAGUGGCGGACGGGUGAGUAACACGUGGGAACGUACCUUUUGGUUCGGAACAACUCUGGGAAACUUGAGCUAAUACCGGAUGAGCCCUUAGGGGGAAAGAUUUAUCGCCGAAAGAGCGGCCCGCGUUAGAUUAGCUAGUUGGUGAGGUAAAGGCUCACCAAGGCUACGAUCUAUAGCUGGUCUGAGAGGAUGAUCAGCCACACUGGGACUGAGACACGGCCCAGACUCCUACGGGAGGCAGCAGUGGGGAAUCUUGCGCAAUGGGCGAAAGCCUGACGCAGCCAUGCCGCGUGAAUGAUGAGGGUCUUAGGAUUGUAAAAUUCUUUUACCAGGGACGAUAAUGACGGUACCUGGAGAAAAAGCCCCGGCUAACUUCGUGCCAGCCGCCGCCGUAACAC
rnacentral:rRNA from 1 species